GACGAACGCUGGCGGCGUGCUUAACACAUGCAAGUCGAACGGAAAGGCCCUGCUUUUGUGGUGUGCUCGAGUGGCGAACGGGUGAGUAACACGUGAGUAACCUGCCCUUGACUUUGGGAUAACUUCAGGAAACUGGGGCUAAUACCGGAUAGGAUCUCCUGCUGCAUUGUGGGGGUUGGAAAGUUUCGGCGGUUGGGGCUGGACUCGCGGCUUAUCAGCUUGUUGGUGGGGUAGUGGCUUACCCAGGCUUUGACGGGUAGCCGGCCUGAGAGGGUGACCGGGCACAUUGGGACUGAGAUACGGCGCAGACGGGUACGGGAGGCAGCAGUGGGGAAUAUUGCACAAUGGGAGGAAGCCUGAUGCAGCAACGCCGCGUGUGGGAUGACGGCCUUCGGGUUGUAAACAGCUUUAGCCUGUGACGAAGCGUGAGUGACGGUAAUGGGUAAAGAAGCACCGGCUAACUACGUG
rnacentral:rRNA from 1 species